rnacentral:rRNA from 1 species
UACAGAGGUCUCAAGCGUUGUUCGGAUUCAUUGGGCGUAAAGGGUGUGUAGGUGGCGCUGUAAGUCGGGUGUGAAAUCUCGGGGCUUAACUCCGAAACUGCAUUCGAUACUGCGGUGCUUGAGGACUGGAGAGGAGACUGGAAUUCAUGGUGUAGCAGUGAAAUGCGUAGAGAUCAUGAGGAAGACCAGUGGCGAAGGCGAGUUUCUGGACGGUAACUGACGCUGAGGCACGAAGGCCAGGGGAGCAAACGGGG